rnacentral:rRNA from 1 species
UCCUACGGGAGGCAGCAGUAAGGAAUAUGGUCAAUGGGGGAACCCUGAACCAGCCAUGCCGCGUGCAGGAAGACUGCCCUACGGGUUGUAAACUGCUUUUAUCGGGGAAUAAACCUCACUACGUGUAGUGAAUUGAAUGUACCCGAGGAAUAAGGAUCGGCUAACUCCGUGCCAGCAGCCGCGGUAAUACGGAGGAUCCAAGCGUUAUCCGGAUUUAUUGGGUUUAAAGGGUGCGUAGGCGGCACUUUAAGUCAGGGGUGAAAUACGGCAGCUUAACUGUCGCAGUGCCUUUGAUACUGAAGUGCUUGAAUGCGGAUGAAGACGGCGGAAUGAGACAAGUAGCGGUGAAAUGCAUAGAUAUGUCUCAGAACACCAAUUGCGAAGGCAGCUGUCUAAGCCGUAAUUGACGCUGAUGCACGAAAGCGUGGGGAUCGAACAGGAUUAGAUACCCUGGUAGUCCACGCCCUAAACGAUGAUGACUCGAUGUUUGCGAUAUACAGUAAGCGUCCAAGCGAAAGCGUUAAGUCAUCCACCUGGGGAGUACGCCCGCAAGGGUGAAACUCAAAGGAAUUGACGGGGGCCCGCACAAGCGGAGGAGCAUGUGGUUUAAUUCGAUGAUACGCGAGGAACCUUACCCGGGCUUGAAAGUUACUGAAGCAUCCAGAGACGGAUGCGUCCUUCGGGACAGGAAACUAGGUGCUGCAUGGCUGUCGUCAGCUCGUGCCGUGAGGUGUUGGGUUAAGUCCCGCAACGAGCGCAACCCCUAUGUCUAGUUGCCAGCACGUUAAGGUGGGGACUCUAGACAGACUGCCUGCGCAAGCAGUGAGGAAGGCGGGGACGACGUCAAGUCAUCAUGGCCCUUACGUCCGGGGCUACACACGUGCUACAAUGGACGGUACAGCGGGCAGCUACACAGCAAUGUGAUGCCAAUCUCGUAAAGCCGUUCACAGUUCGGAUCGGGGUCUGCAACUCGACCCCGUGAAGUUGGAUUCGCUAGUAAUCGCGAUCAGCAA